UGACAGAAUGAUGCCUGACAUGGAAGUGCAAAUGAAGCAAAGUGGAUGCAUGCAAAUUCCAGUGCUUCCAGGAUGCACAAGACAGAGCUACUGCUAAUGGAUUGCAUCCCCACAUCUCACAGACAGAUUCAUUCUGAAUCACCAUUUUAUGACAGUAGUUUAAUCAAGGAGCACAACAGAUCACACAGCAACAAGAAUUCAUCUAAGAACUGACAACAGCAGGAGUGCAGAUUCUCUGGGGCAAGAGCCAUGGCUUUGUUGGCAUCACAUCAAGCAUAAUAGCUCUGCUCCCCGCCCAAGCCUCCCAGCCACGGCAAGAAAGAGAACGGAUUAUUGACUCUGAGUGCAUACGGAUGGAUCCAGCUAGCUUUUCCCCCUGAAGAGAAGGUUCAGCAUAAUGGAGAGAGCAACUGCCCGUGUUUGAAUUGCUGACAGAAACCACGGAGUCCACCCCCCAAGCCGCUAAACUGAGCCACCUCACAUGGAGCAGAGACGGAGCGGAAGAGCUGUGGUGCAGCUUCACACCACUGUUUGCUCUGGAUUUGCUCUGGUUUAAUUAACACUUGUGAGAUUGACAGUUCAUAAAAACGACGAUGAUUGUUUUUGCUCCUUCUACUACUACUGAAAAUAAAUAGGUUUGUAUUAAAUUUUACUUCUGAUUCUCUUCUAU